rnacentral:rRNA from 1 species
AGCGAACGUUUGCGGCGGGCCUAACACAUGCAAGUCGAACGAUAACCCGGGCUUCGGUCUGGGGGAAGGUGGCGCACGGGUGCGUAACGCGUGGGAAUCUACCCUAGAGCGGGGGACAACCCGGGGAAACCCGGGCUAAUACCGCAUACGUCCUACGGGAGAAAGAGGGCCUCUGCUUGCAAGCUCUCACUCCAGGAUGAGUCCACGUCCGAUUAGCUAGUUGGUAGGGUAAAGGCCUACCAAGGCCACGAUCGGUAGCUGGUCUGAGAGGAUGAUCAGCCACACUGGGACUGAGACACGGCCCAGACUCCUACGGGAGGCAGCAGUGGGGAAUAUUGGACAAUGGGCGCAAGCCUGAUCCAGCAAUGCCGCGUGUGUGAAGAAGGCCUGCGGGUUGUAAAGCACUUUCAGUGGGGAAGAACAGGUUCGGGUCAAUACCCCGGAGCCCUGACGUUACCCACAGAAGAAGCACCGGCUAACUCCGUGCCAGCAGCCGCGGUAAAGUGUGACUGUC